UACGUAGGGUGCGAGCGUUAAUCGGAAUUACUGGGCGUAAAGCGUGCGCAGGCGGCUUUUUAAGCCAGAUGUGAAAUCCCCGGGCUUAACCUGGGAACUGCAUUUGGAACUGGAAGGCUAGAGUGUAGCAGAGGGGGGUAGAAUUCCACGUGUAGCAGUGAAAUGCGUAGAGAUGUGGAGGAAUACCGAUGGCGAAGGCAGCCCCCUGGGCUAACACUGACGCUCAUGCACGAAAGCGUGGGGAGCAAACAGG
rnacentral:rRNA from 1 species